GACGAACGCUGGCGGCGUGCCUAAUACAUGCAAGUCGAGCGAAGUUUUUCUGGUGCUUGCACUAGAAAAACUUAGCGGCGAACGGGUGAGUAACACGUAAAGAACCUGCCUCAUAGACUGGGACAACUAUUGGAAACGAUAGCUAAUACCGGAUAACAGUAUUUCUCGCAUGAGAGAUAUUUAAAAGUUUGUUAUGCUAACACUAUGAGAUGGCUUUGCGGUGAAUUAGCCAGUUUGUGGGGUCAAGGCCCACCAAGGCGACGAUGCAUAGCCGACCUGAGAGGGGGAUAGGCCACAAUGGAAGUGAGACACGGUCCAGACUACGACGGGAGGCAGAAGUAGGGAAUAUUAGACAAUGGGCGAAAGCCUGACGGAGCAAAACCGGGUGGGUGAAGAAGGUCUUCGGAUAGUAAAAACCUGUUAUUAGGGAAGAAAAGAAGUGUAAGAAAACAUCGCGGUCUUGACGGUACCUAAUGAGAAAGCAACGGCGAACUACGUG
rnacentral:rRNA from 1 species